AGGCUGGAAACCGGCUGCAAGAUCUUCAAGCUGUUUCUUUCCGGGUCCAGUGCCUGCUGCGAGCAACGCGCUGUUCUAGGGGCGAAGCCAAGAACUACUUCUCGUGGAGCUGAGGUUCAGCGGUGUGUGUGUGGGACACUCACAAUAAACAUCAUAAAUAAGUAAAUUCUAUAAGAGGCUGCGUAGCAAAAUGGGGUCUGCAUCCAGAUUUAUUGCGUUUCAAUCUCAGAUUUUCCACUUACUAGCUGUGUUACCCCGAGCAAAUUGCUUCAUCCUUCUGUGCUUCACUUUCCUCCUCAGUUAAAUGAGGAUCAUCAUAGUGUCUACUUCAGAGUUGGUGUGAGAGUUGAAUGAGGAUACUCUCUGUGAGCCCAGCUGCUAUGUUGUGAGGAAGCCCAAGCCAUGUGAGGAGUCUCCCAGAUAAGGUCCCAGCUGAAACCAGCAUCAACCACCAGAGAAGUGAGUGAACAUUGAGAUGAUUCCGGCCCCCAGGCUUUGAGCCGUCCCAGCUGACACCAAGAGGAGGAGAGAGAGAACUGUUCCCAUCAAGCCCGGCCCAAACUUAACUACUUCCUCAAGUCCAUGGGCAACACUCAACUUGAGCUAAGAACAGGGAGUAAACACUCAGCAGAAGUAAAGCACAUAGAACGGAUAAGACAUUGGCCAUGAAUGCUUCCGACAGCGCCCCAGCCCAGUCGGGCCAGGCGGAUUCCUGAGCGGGGAGCUCCAACUCCCAUGGGGAACCAAGAGCAAACACCGGGUUUUUACAUGAAUCUCCAGAUUGUUUUUUAAACCGUGUCAAUAAAUUCACAUCAAACAAACAAACAAAAGCACUAUGUGAGUGGAAUUUAUCAGGAGGCAGAUGGGCCACUUCACGGUCUCACGGUUGCCCGAACUCAGGCCUCCUGAUGUAAACACCUGGGAUGUUUGUUACUCAGCAAAUCAGACUAUGCUCAGUGAAAGAAGCCAGUCACAGAAGGACAAAUACUGCAUGAAUCCACUUAUAUGAGGUUCCUAGAGGAGUUAAAUCCAUAGAGACAGAAAGUAGGAUGGUGAGUGCCAGGGGCUGGGGAGUGAGUGUGUGAUGGGGCAGAGAUUCAAUUUGGGAAGAUGGAAAAGUUCUGGACAAAGAUGGUGGGGAUGGUUGGACAGCAGCGUGAAUGUGCUUAUUGCCACUGAACUGGACACUUUAAAAUGGUUAAGAGAGUAAGUUUUAUGUUAUAUGUAUUUUACCGCAAUUUUUUAAAAUGUGAAAAAAAAAAAAAAAGGUGAAGUGGUGCAGCUGUAUGGCCCGUUCUGCCCGGAGGGAAAAGCAUGGCUCCUUCCAGCUUGAGAAGUUCAAGGUCAGACACUGCAACACUAAAAUAACAAUAACAAAACUGAUAAGUUAUUAUUGUUAUUCUACUGGGAGAUGGAGCAAACUGUUACCAAAAUUUAUAAGGAAGAACAAAAGUCCAUGGCCAGCUAAUUUUACAAAAAUGGGCAGGGAUGGGGAAGCUGGCUUAGGAGACAGUAACACAUAUUCCCAAAGUCACAAUAAUUAAAUCAGCAGGGCAUGGCUGCAAGAAGAAAUGGGCCAAAGGAAAGGAGUUCCAGCACAGACCCUGUCUGAAAGAACUUGGGGUAAAGCAGAGGGCUUUCCACAAAUCAGUGGUCAAGGGUGAGCUCUGUGGGGUGGUGUAGGGAAAGCAGCUUACUCUGCCCAAGGAAAAUCAGGCUGUAUCCCUACCUCACACCUUAUGCAAAAAAUAAACUCUGAAGGACUAAUAUGAAGGCACAAUGACAAAGCUACAGGAAGAAAAUAUGGCAGAAUAUCAGUGGCCUCAAGAAGGGGAAAGAUCUCUUUACAAAGCCCUCUGAGCACUAACCAUAUAUGAAAUGUAUGAGGUGAUCUCACUUAAAUGUGGAAUAAAAAAAACAAAAACAAAACAGAAAAACCUCAGAGAUACAGAGAACAGAUUGAUGGCUGCCAGAAGCAGGGGAUGGGUGGGAUGGGUAAAGGUGGUCCAGAGGUACAAACCUCCAGGUAUAAGAUACAGGCAUACCUUCUUUUAGUGGGCUUCACUUUAUUGUGCUUCGAAGAUACUGCAUGUUUUUUACAAAUUGAAGGUUUGUGGCAACCCUGCAUCGAGCAAGCCU